rnacentral:rRNA from 2 species
GAGUUUGAUCCUGGCUCAGAAUGAACGCUGGCGGCAGGCCUAACACAUGCAAGUCGAACGGAGUUAUAUUGUAGCUUGCUAUGGUAUAACUUAGUGGCAGACGGGUGAGUAAUGUAUAGGAAUCUACCUAGUAGUACGGAAUAAUUGUUGGAAACGGCAACUAAUACCGUAUACGCCCUACGGGGGAAAAAUUUAUUGCUAUUAGAUGAGCCUAUAUUAGAUUAGUUAGUUGGUGAGGUAAAGGCUUACCAAGACAAUGAUCUAUAGCUGAUCUGAGAGGAUGAUCAGCCACACUGGAACUGAGAUACGGUCCAGACUCCUACGGGAGGCAGCAGUGGGGAAUAUUGGACAAUGGGCGAAAGCCUGAUCCAGCCAUGCCGCAUGAGUGAAGAAGGCCUUCGGGUUGUAAAGCUCUUUUAGUGAGGAAGAUAAUGACGGUACUCACAGAAGAAGUCCUGGCUAACUCCGUGCCAGCAGCCGCGGUAAUACGGAGAGGGCUAGCGUUAUUCGGAAUCAUUGGGCGUAAAGGGCGCGUAGGCGGGUUAGUAAGUUAAAAGUGAAAUCCCAAGGCUCAACCUUGGAACUGCUUUUAAAACUGCUAGUCUAGAGAUUGAAAGAGGAUAGAGGAAUUCCUAGUGUAGAGAUGAAAUUCGUAAAUAUUAGG